rnacentral:misc_RNA from 1 species
GACAAAGGGGUGCAAUCCAAAUGCUUCAACUUUUAGAACUUUGAUAUUCUAUUUGUGUAAGAAUGAACAGUUCGAGACGGGGUAUAAAGUGUUCAGAGAAAGUGUGAGAGCAAACAAGAUUCCGGAUGUCAAUACACUCAAGUACUUGGUUCAUGGUUUGGCGAAGAGUUCAAAGGCGAAAGAAGCAAAAGAAAUGAUCAGGACAAUGAAGAAGAAGUUCCCUGCUAAUGUGGUGAAAGUUUGGACCAAGAUAGAGGAGGAGCUUGGUUUGGCUAAAGUCGAACUCGGUGAUAUCAAGUCUAAUGAGAGUAAUGUUGCGCAGUAAUGAUUUUGUUCGAGAUAUAGCUGCUGUAAGCAAUCUAGCCAGCUUUAUAACUGUUGAGGAAGAUUGAAUUUUUUUGUUUGUCAUAAAGAUGUGAGUUAGCACUUGGCGCUAACAUUUGUUGUGCCAUUUAUUUUUGAAAGCUAAUAUAGAUCGUUU